rnacentral:rRNA from 1 species
CACGUAGUUAGCCGUGACUUCCUCGCCGGGUACCAUCACUCAGAAAGCUUUCCACUCUUCUGCCUUUUGUCCCCGGCAACAGAGCUUUACGAUCCGAGACCUUCCUCGCUCACGCGGCAUUGCUCGUUCAGGGUUCCCCCCAUUGACGAAAAUUCCCUACUGCUGCCUCCCGCAGGAGUCUGGGCCGUGUCUCAGUCCCAGUGUGGCCGUCCGCCUCUCAGGCCGGCUAUGCAUCGUCGCCUUGGUGAGCCGUUACCUCUCCAACCAGCUAAUGCACCGCAGGUCCAUCUGCAUGCGGGUACUCUUGUCCCCUUUUACCAAAAGAGAUGCCUCCUUCUUUGCUCAUCCGGUAUCAGUCUUCCGUUUCCAGUAACGUUCCUCCCGUCUCAUGCAGGCAGGUUCCCUACGUGUUACUCACCCGUUCGCCACUCAUACUCCGAAGAUUACUCCGUUUCGACUUUGCUAUUGUAUUAGGCAUCGCCGCCAGGCUUUCACUCCUGACG